rnacentral:tRNA from 1 species
UAAUGGGAAGCAAAGUUUUGCGUUUAGUUUCGGCCUAAAAGUUUGAUUGUUAUCCCCAUUAU